rnacentral:rRNA from 1 species
ACGGGACCCGCACAAGCGGUGGAUGAUGUGGAUUAAUUCGAUGCAACGACGAAAACCUUACCUACCCUUGACAUGUCCGGAAUCCCGAAGAGAUUUGGGAGUGCUCGCAAGAGAGCCGGAACACAGGUGCUGCAUGGCUGUCGUCAGCUCGUGUCGUGAGAUGUUGGGUUAAGUCCCGCAACGAGCGCAACCCUUGUCAUUAGUUGCCAUCAUUUAGUUGGGCACUCUAAUGAGACUGCCGGUGACAAACCGGAGGAAGGUGGGGAUGACGUCAAGUCCUCAUGGCCCUUAUGGGUAGGGCUUCACACGUCAUACAAUGGUCGGUACAGAGGGUUGCCAACCCGCGAGGGGGAGCUAAUCCCACAAAGCCGAUCGUAGUCCGGAUCGCAGUCUGCAACUCGACUGCGUGAAGUCGGAAUCGCUAGUAAUCGUGGAUCAGCAUGUCACGGUGAAUACGUUCCCGGGUCUU